rnacentral:rRNA from 1 species
GACGAACGCUGGCGGCGUGCUUAACACAUGCAAGUCGAACGGAGUGGCAAACGGGUGAGUAACGCGUAAUCAACCUGCCCUUCAGAGGGGGACAACAGUUGGAAACGACUGCUAAUACCGCAUACUGAAGGAGGGGAUUGCGGCUGAUUAGCUAGGUGGGGGGGUAACGGCCCACCAAGGCGAUGAUCAGUAGGCGGUCUUAGAGGAGGGACGGCCACAUUGGGAAUGAGAAAAGGCCCCGACUCCUACGGGAGGGAGGAGUGGGGAAUCUUGCGCAAUGGACGGAAGGCUGACGGAGUAAAGCCGCGGGAGUGAUGACGGCCUUCGGGUUGUAAAGCUCUGUUAAUCGGGACGCAGUACCGGAAUAGAAAGCAACGGCUAACUACGUGCCAGCCGCCGCGGUAAUAC